rnacentral:rRNA from 1 species
UACGUAGGGGGCAAGCGUUGUCCGGAAUCAUUGGGCGUAAAGCGCGCGUAGGCGGCCACUUAAGUCGGAUGUGAAAGCCCCUGGCUCAACUGGGGAAGUGCACCCGAAACUGAAUGGCUUGAAUGCAAAAGAGGGUCGCGGAAUUCCCGGUGUAGAGGUGAAAUUCGUAGAUAUCGGGAGGAACACCGGUGGCGAAGGCGGCGACCUGGGUUGACAUUGACGCUGAGGCGCGAAAGCGUGGGGAGCAAACAGG